GCGGACUUAGCUCAGUUGGGAGAGCGCCAGACUGAAGAUCGGGAGGUCCUGUGUUCGAUCCACAGAUUUCGCG
rnacentral:tRNA from 1 species